rfam:Anolis carolinensis unplaced genomic scaffold chrTn0450, whole genome shotgun sequence.
ACGGGCAUUCAAAUAUCCUCAAGGCAUCCGAUCUCUCUGAUUUUAGAAGCUAAGCAGGGUCAGCCCUGGUUAGGACUUGGAUGGGGAACUGCCAAGGAAGACCAGGGACUGUUAGCU